AUACGUAGGUCCCGAACGUUGCGCGAAAUUACUGGGCGUAAAGGGUCCGUAGGCGGUCUGGUAAGUGGAAGGUGAAAGCCUGGGGCUCAACUCCAGAAUUGCCUUCCAAACUGCCGGACUUGAGGCAGGGAGAGGUCGGCGGAAUUCCCGGUGUAGUGGUGAAAUGCGUAGAUAUCGGGAGGAACACCAGUGGCGAAGGCGGCCGACUGGAACUGUCCUGACGCUGAGGGACGAAAGCUGGGGGAGCGAACCGGAUUAGAUACCCGUGUAGUCC
rnacentral:rRNA from 1 species